rnacentral:rRNA from 1 species
UACGUAGGGGGCGAGCGUUGUCCGGAAUUAUUGGGCGUAAAGAGCGUGUAGGCGGCCCGGUAAGUCCGCUGUAAAAGUCAAAGGCUCAACCUUUGAAUGUCAGUGGAUACUGCCGGGCUAGAGUCCGGAAGAGGCGAGUGGAACUCCUGGUGUAGCGGUGGAAUGCGCAGAUAUCAGGAAGAACACCAACGGCGAAGGCAGCUCGCUGGGACGGUACUGACGCUGAGACGCGAAAGCGUGGGGAGCGAAACAGG